rnacentral:tRNA from 1 species
UCCCAGGUAGCUCAGUGGUAAAGAAUCUGCCUGCAAUGCAGAAGAUGUGGGUUCAAUCCCUGGGUCGGGAA